AUAAACGAUAGUCCAACCGAGAGCGAUCUUCGGUGAAUUUCAUACAACAUGAGUAGUAUUAUGUUGUGGACAAGUGCCACUAACAUCUAAGUGAAUAAAUCUAAACAACUUUGUGAUUCUUUCUUCCUUUUCAAAAGAAUAAAGAUUCAAACAUUUUGCCUCUAUACAAUUUUAACAAGAAGGCAUUGGAUCCGGAUCUAACGAUCCAAAGCAUCCAUCUAUGACCAACUCGUAAUUUAUGUUUUAGAGGUAUCACAACUCAGUUGGGAUUAGUCACUACCUUGCAACCUUUUGGGUUUUAACCAUCGUUAUAUUCUAAACAGUUAACACUACCAUAUCAUCUCUACUAUAGAGAUAAUCAAUUACAUUACAAUAAUCUAAUCAUUCAUUAAUAAAGAACAAUGUUUGUCAAACAAAACAUUCAUCCAUCUCUCAUAGUGACGGAAUUAAGUUCCUUAAAAUUGGAAUGUAAAGACAAUCUUUGGUUUUUCCAAUUUCUUUGGUAGUUCAUAUGAGGAAGUAAGUACGAUAUGCUUUCGCAGAGAUCUACAUUUGAUUCACGUUCCGAAUGUGAAGUACUUUCUCUUCUCUCAUUAAUCUUCUACUUCUUAUUAGCCACACUUUUACAACGAUUGUAAAACAUAGUUACUAAUACGGAAUCAAGCAUUCAAGUAGAAGAACCAACUGUUUUGAACUUUUCAAGAACAAUUUACAACACCUUGGAAAGGUGUAUUCUUGACACUUGCAAGACAUUUCUUGCAAAUACCCCUUCCAAUGUCCAUCCUUUCAUAAAGAAAGUUUGUUCCCUUGGAGUUAUUUCCCCUUCUUCAUUUGACUUCUCCUUUGACUAGAAUAGUCAUGGUCCCUAAACUCCCACUAUCUCUCUUGAAACUUAUUUCAAUUGUGUUAUACACAUCAAACGAUUUGGAGAGUGUGCGGUUAUUGUUCACUAUAUAGUUUACAAUAAACUUAGUGAACCAUUUGCAUAGGGACACAAAGGUGAAGUCCUUGCCUAGUUUCUGUCUCUAGAAGUGGUUUAACACUUCAACACUCAAUGAUUCAAAAUCAUCAUAAGUCCAUGUUGAUG
rnacentral:lncRNA from 1 species